rnacentral:snRNA from 1 species
GAGGGAUUCUGAACCCUCCAAAG